AAAAGAAAAAAGCAAGCCAGCCGCCUCCUCUCUCACCGCUCGUCUCCUCCUCUCCCCCACGCCGCCCCUCCUCUCCCCGCUCAUCUCCUCCUCUCCGGCCGCUCCCCCCAGCCGGGGCCCACUAGCUGCUGUCCAUAUGCUUCCUCCCCAUGAUCCGGGGACAGAGGGAGUCGUGGUGGCAUGGGACAGAUGCGUGAGGAGGAGGAGGCCGAGGUAAUGGUGGCACGACGGAGGUCGUGGCUCGCCCCCCACCGACUCUCUUGCACCCCCAUUUUCCCUGCCCCCUCCCCGGCGUCCUUACCUCUGCCAUCCGACCUUCCCGAGCUCUCCCUCUUCGGGGUUGCCGCCAUCCGAUGCCGCGCGCCAUGAUUCCAAAUUGGUCGCAAUUCGAUAAGGAGCGGUUGCUGCAGUGAGGGCAGUAGGGUCCCACCCCGGCGGCUGUGUGUAGAGGGGGAGAGGUUGACACAGGCCUAGCAGCAGAGGAUGAAGAUGGAGCUGGCAGCAGGGAUCAUGGGAGCAACGGGGGUGGCUGGCCACCCAAAGCUAGACGAGAAAGGGGGCAGCAAUGCAGGGACGGAAUAUGGUGUCCAUGCGCUAUCCAUUUCUACUCAUCUUCAGCUUGCAGGUUGCUGAGUUUUCUCCUCUCUGCUUGUUGGUUUUCUUUGAUUAGUAGAACAAGUAGCACAACAUGUGUUUGUGAAAAUGCUUCUCACAGAUGGAACUUUUGGUGUGCCUAGACCCGCCUUCUUUAUUAGGAGAAUAUGCUUGCUGAGACAUAUGGUCUAAAUUUCGAUCAGUACAGAAUUUUCGAUUACCUAAGUACUAUUAAUGUAAUUAUUCCGUCUCCUAUGACAUAUGCAUGUGGCACUUUGAUUUUGGUGUAGAAGGAUGUACAAAUGUUUACUGUUGAGUGAUAUUGAUAUUUUUCCUUGGCGCACCAUCAAGAACUAGGAAGGGCAACAUCUGUAUGGCUAGAUGUAUCUUUUUUGAGCAACUUAGUUCAUGUAUAAUGAGCAACUGAGCAUAUUUGGUGUUCAUUCCUGAGAUAUAUCUGUAUGUGUCUCCUCUUUUUAGAUUUUUAUCUAAAAGCAGAGCUACCUACUAAUAGCUCACAAGAUCGAAAACUAAGCCUGAUUUCUCAGGUAAAUCGUGUUACUGAAUACACUACUUUUAUAUCUCAGUAAGAAACAAGAAAUAUAUCAUGAUUUAUAGUGUGCAGGUGCUCACAAGAUCAUUGUUUUGCAUAACCGUCUUAGGAAUCUUCCGUUGUGGUGCUCAUGUGUCUAAGAAAUUAACAGGGCAGAGGCUCUAGAGAGGAGGUUUGAUUUUCCUUUUCGGGGUUUGUAGCACGAAUGCAAGAAUUUCUCAUGUAGGUUUGGAGAUGUCCUUAUUUUCAUGGCUCAAUCAUCAAAUGACGUCAAAAUUGAAUUCCUAAAAGCAAGGACACCAGAUCCGCGUCCGCAUUGUCCCUCCAGCCUUGCUCAUUGGACGAAGAUGACAGGGAGAGGAGGAUGCUAGCCAGGAAGGUGCACAUGGCAUUGGCGUCGCCGACCCCUCACUGGCGAUGGUACAAUCAGAUCACCUUAACCAUCACUAGAAUUUUAUCCUAUUUUAUUUAAUCACAUAGGCCAAGGAGCCAUCAGCGAUGGUGUAGCUGCAGCAGCCUGUCAAUUGGAGGAGAGGCCAAGGACCAUGGUUGAUCUAAGAGCAGUCUCAACUUGGUUAUUGAUCUGUUCUGGAGCAUGGUUCGUCUAUCUAUGAUUCCCCACCCUUACACAACACGGUCCACAUCUUGAAUUUGAAGUGAACUUUAGUCUAAUUUGUUGCUGGUUGUGCUGAACAGUUCGGUUAGGGUGGACGUGCUUUUAUUCUAUUUGUGCUUGUGAAAAACUUGAGUUCCUUUGUCCGAGUUGAGUGCACUCAAAAUCGACUGUCGGGAGAAUUUGUAAUGCCCAGUUGACGGUUUUGGAGGCUCAUGGUUUUGUGGCGUGGGUUGUUGCAUAUAACAUCUUCUAUAUCGUUUGCUGGUAGAAAGGAUGUUAUUGUCCUGAGAUAUUAUCUUC